rnacentral:lncRNA from 1 species
GGAGGAGAAGCGCACAGCGAGUGCUUAAAGUGUCAUUUAAGUCCGUAAUUCAGAUCUAGAGUCCACGCGUCUACCUGUCAAAGCCCCCGGCCCGCCCUAACGAGGCCCAUCUGUGCUAAUGACACAAUGACCCCCAGGUGCCGGGCACAGCUGCGCCUCGUCCGGAGCCGAGCGCAACGCCCGCCCCAAAGCCUCUUAAGCUCCUCCGGGGGCUGCCGGGAGCUACGAAGGCGCUCUGCGCAGUCCCUCGCCGGGACGCGAUGAAGGAGGUUGUGUGAUGCUGUUCCUCUGCCCGAGGCGCUGCUGGGGCUGCUUGGAAGCCGAAACCUCGGGGUUCUGUUUAACGUUGUCUGUUGCGUUUGGUUCUUUUAUUCAGGCUGCAGGAGGGCGUCGGGAUCCGCCCCGGCCGGUGAGCCGUACCGAUAGCGAUGGAGGUGGUGAGCGCUCGGCGGUCCUUGGGGGGCUUUCCGCCUGGGGUGAGAGGCUGCCGGGCCCUCACCGUGCUCUUUUUGGGGCCGGCGUAGAGCUACCGCUGGGCUCCCUCGACUUUUCAGAGCCGGGAUUGCAGCGCUGCCUGCUUUCUGUUGUAUUUGGUUUGCUUUUUUUCCCCCCUCAACUUUUUUUUUUUUUAGGGAGUGCUUCAGUUCUUCAGUUCAUUCUGCUCUCAUCAGCGGGAGUGAGCGAGAUGGGGCUGUGCUUCUGCAGCCUCAGCACUGCUGGGAGAGAGGAGCAACACGAAGGGCUGCUAAAACCAGGUGUUUCCCUAUUGCGGCUGGAGCUGCAGCAGGGCCUCUCUUCAUCCCAAACCGGCGAGGUUGUGGAAGUGUUGAGAGUUUGGGAGUCAGUAGAAGGACAAUCCAGCAGGGUGAUGGAGUUGCUUUUCAGGUGAGAGAGCUGGAAAGGAUUGAGCCCUGCCUAGGGAUGAAUGAACAACUAGAGGAGUGCUUGUGAGCUGUGACUGCUGAGGAUGCUCCUUGACGAUCCUGGAUCCCAGAGGAAAGCGUCUUUGAGGAAGGAUGCCUUCCUGAUCGCAGAGGAGGCGGCAAAGAUCACGUGGACAAAAUUAGUGCCCCCCAGGUCCUAGUGGGACGUGCCUGUGUGUGGCGAAGGAGCUGGCAGAAGUGAGCUCCAGCUGGCUCUGUGUCACAUUCUUUAUGAUGUUUUCUUUAGGAAAGUUGUGUGAGGACGGGAGGAUAGCCAGCAUCACGGCAGCCUUCAAAAAGGGUAAGAAGGAGGGCCUGCAUAACCCUAGGCCAGUCCCUCUCCUCUUUCACCCUGGAGAGGUGGUGGAAUGACUUGUUCUAGGUGUCAUUCCAAGGAACUUGAAGAGUUUGCUAUGAAGCAGUCAAGGUGGAAUCACUGAGGGGAAAUUGUGCUGCUCCAACCUGGGAGCGUCAGGUCAGAGAAGAGCAGGGGAUGCUGCAAGCCUGACUUCAGUGUUUCUGUUGGCGUUUUUGUAAUGAAGCUUAACAAGUGUGAGAUGGUGACCUGGAUGAAGGGAGAGUCUCUAAUGUCGGUGAGUGAGCGGAUGAUGCGAAGCUGGGAGGAGCAGCGACAUUCAGCGGGACCCCAUGAACUGUGGAGAGCAGGUCAAGCGGAUGGGAAAGUUGUACAUGGGGUCCAAUGGAGGGCAAUGAAGAUGAUGAGGGGCCUGGAGCAUCUCUCUGUGGAGGACUGGAUGAGGAAUCUACUUCUGUUUCACCAAGAGAAGGAUGGAGGCUGCAAAGGAGUGUUUGUUUUUUUGGCAAGGAUCUGCCUGAACAUGAGUGGUUUCAUCAGUGGUGGAAUGGAGGAGGUAAGAGCCCUCAGUUGUGUUGUGUAGGUGUGGAGGCUCCUUUGUCAGAGGUUUGGUGCUGGAACAAGGAUUGCUGUGUGACUGCCUCUCCAGAGGGAGGUGUUUUUCCAGUGGAGUGGAAUUGAUGGAGCAUUCAGAAGUGGUGCCUUUUGGUGGAGCUUCACUUGGGCUGUAGCAGAAGAAUUGGAGCUGACUUAACAGGUUGUCUACUUCAGCACUAUGGUGUGUCAGACUUGCUUGACUCACCAAAUGAAACCAGUACUUUUCCAGUGUUUGCAUUGUUGCAGCGGAAUUCCUGGAGAGAAGCGUUGCUUGAGUUUGGAAGGGCUUCUCGAGUGUGAAGGUAGGAGUGCUGUCCUGAGAGCUGAGCGGCGUUGACUCUUGCAAAAAGAUGGUUUCCUUUUUUCAGAUAGGUAAGUCAAACCACUCUCAGCAAACCAAUGGAGAAACCAGAGACUAGUGCAUCUCUAUGGUACCCUUUGGGUUAAGUUAGGAAUCAGAAAGCAGCCUGGGUUGGAAGGAACCUGUGUCUCCAAGCUCUGCACUGCUCUGCCUCAACUUCAGUUGCAUCUCUGUGAGACUCAUCAAAGCCUGGGGAUGACCAGUGUCAAUGACAGUUUGCAUUCUGGUUCUACUCAAUUUUCACAUUUUCAGAUUCAAAGUAACAAUUUCUACACUAGGAGGAACUUAGCUGUGACACCUGGGCACAAAUUACACCUUUGGAGACAAACUUCAAGAUUUGCAAACUUCAAGAUUUGUUUCCUAUAGGUACAGGCCUGAAUCAAACACCCCUUCUGCAUCACGUUGCAGCCUGUUUCCCAAGGUUUCCAGGCUUCUAGGCUGUAAGCGUGCAGGAGAAAACUGGAACUGCUUAGGCCUCCCCUGCAACAGGUCCGUUUCUGAACAAAGUUAUGAAACCAAGAGAAGAUACGGGCUUCUUCAUCAACUUUUUUAAAACACCAAAGAAAAAUCAUGUUUAAAGGUGAUGCUAUUAGCUGAAGACAACAGAAAAAGGGUGGCAACUUUCCCUAUAGAGAGCUCAAGAUGUGUGUGUCGUCAAUGCUUCCGGGACCCCUCCUGGGCUUCAGCAAGCACGCAGGCCAUGGCUAACAUUUCCAACCCUGAAACCCAGCCCUCCAAGAAAAGAGUAAAUCAAAAUACAUAACGUAGGGUGAUGCAGGGCUACUUCUUUCAUUUCAUCUUCACAGCACAGAGCUCUCUCUGCAAGACAGAUACGCAAGUGUAUUAAGCCCACUGACACCUCUCCAAAAGCUUAUUUGCUGGCUAAUUAGACAGUUGAAAAGAUCAACAGGUCGAUGGAAUUGAGAUAAUGCUAUCCAAUGUAAUUACUACAAUUGCAAUAUUUUAGGAAUUGAAGAACAACUCCGUUCGACCUAUGCCAAAAAGCCUAUAUACAGAAGUCCGUACUUAG